GUAAUACGUAGGUGGCAGCGUGUCCGAUUUACUGGGCGUAAAGGGUAUGCAGCGGAUACUAAGUAGGAGUGAAAGGUUGGAGCUCAACUCCAACACUGCUUCUAUACUGGGUGUCUUGAGUGGCGGAGAGGAAGAUGGAACAAAUCGUGUAGCGGUGAAAUGCGUAGAUAUGAUUUGGAACACCAAUGGCGAAAGCAAUCUUCUGGACGCAAACUGACGCUGAGAUACGAAAGCUAUGGUAGCGAACAGGAUUAGAUACCCUGGUAGUCAUAGCUAUAAACGAUGUUCACUAGAUGUCGGGGCUUCGCCUCGGUGUCGCAGCUAACGCAUUAAGUGAACCGCCUGGGAACUACGGCCGCAAGGUUGAAACUCAAAGGAAUUGGCGGGGGCCCGCACAAGCGGUGGAGCAUAUGGCUUAAUUCGAUGCAACGCGAAGAACCUUACCAAGGUUUGACAUGGAUCUGCAAGCGGUAGAAAUAUCGUCGCCUUCGAGGGUGAUCCACAGGUGGUGCAUGGCUGUCGUCAGCUCGUGUUGUGAAAUGUUGGGUUAAGUCCCGCAACGAGCGCAACCCUCAUGUUCUGUUGCCAGCGGGUAAUGCCGGGAACUCGGAACAAACUGCCUCUGUAAAGAGGAGGAAGGUGGGGAUGACGUCAAGUCAUCAUGCCCCUUACAUCUUGGGCUGCACAUAUGCUACAAUGGCCGGUACAAAGAGUUGCUAACCCGCGAGGGGGUGCUAAUCUCAAAAAGCCGGUCUCAGUUCGGAUUGGAGGCUGCAACUCGCCUCCAUGAAGUUGGAAUCGCUAGUAACCGCAGGUCAGCAAUACUGCGGUGAAUACGUUCCCGGGCCUUGCACACACCGCCCGUCAAGUGACGGAAGUCGGUUCUACCCGAAGUC
rnacentral:rRNA from 1 species